rnacentral:rRNA from 1 species
GAUGAACGCUGGCUACAGGCUUAACACAUGCAAGUCGAGGGGAAACGACGGGGAAGCUUGCUUCCCCGGGCGUCGACCGGCGCACGGGUGAGUAAUGCGUAUCCAACCUGCCUCUGACUGAGGGAUAACCCGUCGAAAGUCGGCCUAAUACCUCAUGGCAUCGUCUGCGGGCAUCCAACGACGAUUAAAGAUUUCAUCGGUCAGGGAUGGGGAUGCGUCUGAUUAGCUAGUUGGCGGGGUAACGGCCCACCAAGGCGACGAUCAGUAGGGGUUCUGAGAGGAAGGUCCCCCACAUGGGAACGGAGACACGGUCCAAACUCCUACGGGAGGAAGCAGUGAGGAAUAUUGGUCAAAGGGCGAGAGCCUGAACCAGCCAAGUAGCGUGCAGGAUGACGGCCCUAUGGGUUGUAAACUGCUUUUAUGCGGGGAUAAAGUGAGGGACGUGUCCUUCAUUGCAGGUACCGCAUGAAUAAGGACCGGCUAAUUCCGUA